GGGAUAAGCGGAAGAAAUUCCGUCUAAUACCGCGUAAUAACUCCGAGAGGCAUCUCCUGGGGUUUAAAGGGUAACACCGGCUACGGAUGGCCAUGCGGCGCAUUAGCUAGUUGGCGGGGUAACGGCCCACCAAGGCGACGAUGCGUAGGGGUUCUGAGAGGAAGGUCCCCCACACUGGUACUGAGACACGGACCAGACUCCUACGGGAGGCAGCAGUGAGGAAUAUUGGUCAAUGGGCGCGAGCCUGAACCAGCCAAGUCGCGUGAGGGAAGACGGUCCUAUGGAUUGUAAACCUCUUUUGUCGGGGAGCAAAAGACGCCACGCGUGGCGUUCCGAGAGUACCCGAAGAAAAAGCAUCGGCCAACUCCGUGCCAGCAGCCGCGGUAAUACGGAGGAUGCGAGCGUUAUCCGGAUUUAUUGGGUUUAAAGGGUGCGCAGGCGGAAGAUCAAGUCAGCGGUAAAAUUGAGAGGCUCAACCUCUUCGAGCCGUUGAAACUGGUUUUCUUGAGUGAGCGAGAAGUAUGCGGAAUGCGUGGUGUAGCGGUGAAAUGCAUAGAUAUCACGCAGAACUCCGAUUGCGAAGGCAGCAUACCGGCGCUCAACUGACGCUCAUGCACGAAAGUGUGGGUAUCGAACAGGAUUAGAUACCCUGGUAGUCCACACAGUAAACGAUGAAUAAUAGUUGUUCGGG
rnacentral:rRNA from 1 species